CAGUAGGACGCGACCUGAUGUGCCGACAGGCGGCCCAUUCCCUUGUGGAGUCCCAGCGCCAUGGGCGCAUCGGUUUGAUGAAGCCGAAAGCGGCAUCGGAUCGCGGCAGCUCAGUCGCCCAUCACGUCGCACGCUGGCCCGGAAGGAGAAGGCACACAUGCCUCGCACCGUCAUGCGCGAAAGGGACUCCUCAUCUGCUCGACAUAAUGCGCGACGGUGCGGAUGGACCACAUGACGUUCCUCUAUCGAUCUUCCCAGGAUGAAGAGAGGAGCGCAACACAAGUCCAAGGAUGAUGUGAUGUUCCAGCUGUUCAGCUGGUGAGAUGUCAGGUGGGUGCUCGACGAAUUGCCUCAAAGAGAAAAUGUGAGGUGGUCACUGUUGCAGGGUCCCACUUUGCGAGAUGCUGAUUCCCUGUUCCCUGCCUGUGAUUCAACAGGAGAUCCGCUCGCUUAACGUGGCUGGUGUUGAACGCGCGUAGCCCCACUUGUGUCAUCCAAUAAGAUGAAUAGAUGAAUAGAUUGAGACGGAGAUAGCGCAGCAGCAGCCGCAGUAGCAGCAGGCAGAGAGAGAGAGAGAUGGCGAGGAACAUGAUGGAGCUCGUGAGAAGGGGAAGGAGCGGGUUGCCUCUUCUCCGAAUGGCCUCGCUCUUCUCUACUCAACGAGCGGUGGAUCCUGCGGCGGCUUCUCUGAAUCAACAAGGAAGCCACGCAAGUGAGCCCCUUUUCGCUCUUUGCUUCACCACUCCGUCGGACUAUAACCUUUUGCCUUGCAUUUACCUCUUUCUUUCCAUCUAUCCUCGAGCAAUCUUCAAACUUUGACAAAUGUACAAAAAUAAAGGAAGAAAAAGAGGCCAAAAAUUAUCUUUUAUGGUGACAAUAGUUUGGUUUGGUGAAAAUGCACAGAAAGAAAGGGAGAGAAAGAGCAAAAGUUGAAUUUUUUUUUUCCCUGGUGACAAGAGUUUGAUCUGGUGAACGCAGCGAAGCUUAUUGGGAGGACGCCGAUGGUGUACCUGAACGAAGUGACUGAAGGUUGUCAUGCACAGAUCGCAGCAAAGCUGGGCUUUUUGGCAACCUUCCUUCAGCGUGAAGGACAGGUGUGACAUGUUGCCCUGUCUCUCAGCUUAUUGGGAGGAGGCCGAUGGUGUACCUGAACAAAGUGACUGAAGGCUGUCAUGCACAGAUCGCAGCAAAGCUGGACUUUUUGCAACCUUCCUUCAGCGUGAAGGACAGGUGUGACAUGUUGCCCUGUCACCUGUCUUCAUGUAGUCCGCGAGAAGUGGGCUUGUCCACCGUCUGAUUGAUAGGCGAUUGCUCAUCGCCUGCUUCUCUUUCUCUUGUCUUCUGGCCGGCUGUGGCCAUGAUAGAAGAUGCUGAGAAGAAUGAGGUGAUGACUCCUGGCAAGG